rnacentral:rRNA from 1 species
ACACGUGAUUCAGAGUUUGAUCCUGGCUCAGAUUGAACGCUGGCGGCGUGCCUAACACAUGCAAGUCGAGCGGUAACAGGUGUAGCAAUACAUGCUGACGAGCGGCGAACGGGUGAGUAAUGCUUCGGAAUCUACCUUAUGGUGGGGAAUAACUAGCCGAAAGGUUAGCUAAUACCGCAUACGUCCUACGGGAGAAAGCAGGGGAUCGCAAGACCUUGCGCCAAAAGAUGAGCCGAAGUCGGAUUAGCUAGUUGGUAGGGUAACGGCCUACCAAAGCGACGAUCCGUAGCUGGUCUGAGAGGACGACCAGCCACACUGGGACUGAGACACGGCCCAG